AAGUCGUAACAAGGUCUCCGUAGGUGAACCUGCGGAGGGAUCAUUGCAGAGUGAGGGCUAACCGCCCGACCUCCAACCCCUUCGUGACCACAACCACCAGUUGCUUCCGGGGGUCGAUCCCGGUGCCGUUCCGCCGGUCGAGGGCGCCCCGGGGCUGCCCGGAUCCAAAUCAACUGCGUUAAUUUGCGUCGGAGUCUCAAGUAAAUUGAACAAAA
rnacentral:misc_RNA from 1 species